AGAGCUGUUAAUACCAGCAUUGAAGAACCGGCUGCUAUGACAACGGGGGCGGAGCCAACCGCCAUUUGGAAAGGAAAAGGGGAAUGUUUUAAAACCCAGUUUCAGUCUGUGAUUUUUAGUCGCAGGAAGAAGACUGAUUCUCAUGUGGAGGAUCAGGGUGACUCAAAUAAAAGAAUUUGAGUCAGUCUGUGAUUUUAAAUCACAGGGAGCAGUCUGGUUUCAAGACUGAAGGGAACCAGAAGGACAGACCUCUAUUAGGCCAGACUAAGCAAGUUAGGGGACUUGUUUAGGGUCAUUUACAGAGGCUGUGGAUUAGGGAAAGUUAAUCCCAGUAGAUCCAGGAGGAUCAGGUUUUAGUUUAGCUGAGAGGAAGAAGUAUUUUGAAAGUUUGAACACCUCAUAUCUGUUUGUAACCAUUAAGCUAAGUGCCUUUAAAAAGUUAUAAGAAACCAUCAAGCUCUGUUCAAGCAAUAAACUUGUUUUGAUUUAAUUCCA